ensembl:misc_RNA Metazoa_SRP Metazoan signal recognition particle RNA
GCCGGGCGUGGUGGCGCACGUCUGUAAUCCCAGCUACUUGGGAGGCUGAGGCAGGAGAAUCGCUUGAACCCAGGAGGCGGAGGUUGCAGUGAGCUGAGAUUGCACCACUGCACUCCAGCCUGGGCAACAGAGCGAGACUCCGUCUCAA